rnacentral:rRNA from 1 species
UACGUAGGGUGCGAGCGUUAAUCGGAAUUACUGGGCGUAAAGCGUGCGCAGGCGGUUUUGUAAGCCAGAUGUGAAAUCCCCGGGCUUAACCUGGGAAUGGCAUUUGGGACUGCAAGGCUGGAGUGUGGCAGAGGAGACUGGAAUUCCCGGUGUAGCAGUGAAAUGCGUAGAUAUCGGGAGGAAUACCGAUGGCGAAGGCAGGUCUCUGGGCUGACACUGACGCUCAUGCACGGAAGCGUGGGGAGCAAACAGG